rnacentral:siRNA from 1 species
GGUUAUACGUUAUAAUCUUGGCCA